GGGAUUGUGGCUCAGUGGCAGAGCGCUUGCCUCACAUGUAUGAGGCCCUGGGUUUGAUCCUCAGCAUCACA
rnacentral:tRNA from 1 species